rnacentral:rRNA from 1 species
GACGAACGCUGGCGGCACGCUUAACACAUGCAAGUCGAACGGAGAUUAUUUGAGUUUACUUAGGUAAUCUUAGUGGCGGACGGGUGAGUAACACGUGAGCAACCUACCUUUGAGAGAGGGAUAGCUUCUGGAAACGGAUGGUAAUACCUCAUAACAUAAUGGUACCGCAUGAUACUAUUAUCAAAGAUUUAUCACUCAAAGAUGGGCUCGCGUCUGAUUAGAUAGUUGGUGAGGUAACGGCUCACCAAGUCGACGAUCAGUAGCCGGACUGAGAGGUUGAACGGCCACAUUGGGACUGAGACACGGCCCAGACUCC